UCAUCUGCAAUUUCAAUUAAUUACCUGUAAGAAAUAUUACUUUUGCAAACAGGGCUGCUUAAUUCACUUUGGAGUAAGUGUCAAUAUUAUUUAAGAUUGCUGAAGUCGAGUGAGUGUCAUUUAUUACUGACAGGCUUGAACAAUUUGCGCUGCUUGUCCUAAUAUGGUUGGGUGGGUUAUGUGUAUUCUUAAAAGGAAGUAGUGUCAACCUUUUGAUUUCUUAAUUUCUUAAGAAUAUCAAAGUAAAUUGAAACACUCAGCAAACACUCACUGCCAACAAUGAUAUCAACUAAAGCUUUAAACCACAAGCUGCCUGUUGCGCUGCACCUGCCACACAAUGGUGCCCGUAUGCGUGUUACUAACUGCUGCAUAAUUCAUACAUUUUGAUGAUGGAUAUUGUUUUUGAACCCUGUUCAAGGGAAUUAUACAUGCCAAACAACUAACACAUUGAUCAAAAGGUUAUUUAUUCAACCAUAUGAUAAGAUAAACUACUUUCCACAGACAAUACAUAAUAAAAUAGAGUUCCAUUAUGACCAACUCAAGGUAGUAUACAUUACUUUUUCUAUUUGUGUCUCAGUCAUGAUGAAUUAGGGAAGCACUAAACAAAAAUAUUUGAGUGAUGACUUACUCUCCCGUGUUAGGAGUUUUGAUAUAAACACCAAGGGCUCU